AACCUCGACAUCCCCCUCCUUUUGGAGGAGCUGCGGGUUUUGCGGCAGCGCCAGCUCCGCCAGAUGCAGCUCACCCAAGAAAUUUGCCGCCACCUCCUCCUUUUGGGGGCGCCGGGCCCCCCGAAAACCCACCCCCCGCGCCCAAAAAAACCCCAAAACCCUCUCCCAAAACCCAUUUUCCCCUUUUUUCCCCCCAAAACGGAGCAGGCGGCGGUUUUUUUCGCCGCCCCCUACCGCUUGGCGCCGGCCCCGCGUGGCCGAACCCCCGAAUCCGCCCCGUUGCCGGGCGACCCCCCGGGACCCCCCGUGCGACCCCUAAAUAUUUUUGGGGUGAAUUCCGGGGUUUUUAGGCACGGCUGCGGGGGCGAGCGGCCCUACGGCUGCGGCGUUUGUGGCAACCGUUUCGCCACCCGGGGCAACCUCAAAGUUCACCUCCACCGGCACCGCCAAAAGAGCCCCCAAGUGGCCACCCGGGACCCCCAAGUGGCCACCCGGGACCCCCAAGUGGCCCCCCGGGACCCCCAAGUGGCCACCGAGGGGGUCCAGGUGGCCACCGAGGGGUCGCAGGUGGCCACCGAGGGGUCGCGGGUUGGGGGCGGAAGAUUUCAGCAACCGGACGCGGCGUCGGGUGGAGGGGGGGAGGUGGAGGAGGUCGGGGGGCUAGCGGUGGCCCACGGGGGGCUACCGGGGGCCAACGGGCAAGUAGGGGGCAAGGGGGGGCAAGCGGGGGGCAACGGGGAGGGGGGGGGCAAUGAUGGCCGAUCGGGGGUCAAUAGUGGUCAAUCGGGGGUCAAUAGUGGUCAAUUGGUGGCCAAUAGUGGUCAAUCGGUGGCCAACGCUCAACUGAUGGCCAAUAGUGGCCCAAAAAUGGCCAAUAGUGGCCCAACGAUGGCCAAUAGUGGCCCAACGGUGGUCAAUAGUGGCCCAGUGAUGAUCAAUAGUGGUCAAUUGGUGGCCAAUAGUGGUCAAUUGGUGGCCAACGCUCAACUGAUGGCCAAUAGUGGCCCAACGGUGGUCAAUAGUGGCCCAACGAUGACUAUCAGUGGUCAACCGAUGGCCAACAGUGGCCCAACGAUGACUAAUAGUAGCCCAACGAUGACCAACACUCAACUGAUGGCCAACAGUGGUCCAAAAAUGGCCAAUAGUGGCCCAACGAUGACCAACAGUUGCCCAAUGAUGGCCAACGCUCAACCGAUGGCCAACAGUAGCCCAACGGUGGUCAACAAGGUCCAACUGAUGGCCAACGCCCAACCGAUGGCCAACAGUGGCCCAAAAAUGGCCAAUAGUGGCCCAAAAAUGGUCAAUAGUAGCCCAACGAUGGUCAACGCUCAACCGAUGGCCACCAGUAGCCCAACGAUGACCAACGCUCAACUGAUGACCAACAGUGGCCCAAAAAUGGCCAAUAGUAGCCCAACAGUGGUCAAUAGUGGCCCAACGUUGACCAAUAGCGGUCAACCGAUGGCCACUAGUAGCCCAACGAUGGCCACCAGUGGCCCAACGAUGACCAACACUCAACUGAUGACCAACAGUGGCCCAAAAAUGGCCAAUAGUGGCCCAACGAUGGUCAAUAGUAGCCCAACGAUGACCAACGCUCAACCAAUGGCCAGUAGUGGCCCAAAAAUGGCCAAUAGUGGCCCAACGAUGACCAACAGUAGCCCAAUGAUAGUCAACAGUGGCCCAACGAUGACCAACAGUGGCCAACCGAUGGACAAUAGUGGUCAACUGAUGGCCAACAGUGGCCCAACGAUGGCCAACAAGGUCCAACUGAUGGCCAACGCCCAACCGAUGGACAAUAGUGGCCCAAAAAUGGCCAAUAGUGGCCCAACGAUGGCCAACAAGGUCCAAUUAAUGGCCGACACCCAACUGAUGGCCACUAGUAGCCCAACGAUGACCAACAGUGGCCCAACGAUGACCAACAGUAGCCUAACGGUGGUCAACAAGGUUCAAUUGGUGGCCAACGCUCAACCGAUGGCCAAUAGUGGCCCAAAAAUGGCCAAUAGUAGCCCAACGAUGGCCAACGCUCAACCGAUGGCCAACAGUAGCCCAACAAUGACCAACAGUAGCCCAAUGAUGGCCAACACUCAACCGAUGGCCAACAGUGGCCCCAAAAUGGCCAAUAGUGGCCCAACGGUGGUCAAUAGUAGCCCAACGAUGACCAACACUCAACUGAUGGCCAAUAGUGGCCCAAAAAAUGGCCAACAGUGGCCCAACGAUGACCAAUAGUAGCCCAACGAUGACUAUCAGUGGCCCAGCGAUGGCCAAUAGUGGCCCAACGAUGGUCAAUAGUAGCCCAACGAUGACCAACAGUGGCCCAACGAUGGCCAACAAGGUCCAACUGAUGGCCAACGCCCAACCGAUGGCCAAUAGUGGCCCAACGAUGACCAAUAGUAGCCCAACGGUGGCCAAUUGUGGCCCAACGAUGGUCAACGCUCAACUGAUGGCCAACAGUAGCCCAACGAUGACCAACAGUGGCCCAAUGAUGACGAACAGUAGCCCAAUGAUGGCCAACGCUCAACUGAUGGCCAAUAGUGGCCCAAAAAUGGCCAAUAGUAGCCCAACGAUGGUCAACGCUCAACCAAUGGCCACCAGUAGCCCAACGAUGGCCACCAGUAGCCCAAUGAUGACCAACGCUCAACCGAUGGCCAACAGUUGCCCAAAAAUGGCCAAUAGUGGCCCAAAAAUGACCGAUAGUGGCCCAAAAAUGGCCAAUAGUGGCCCAAAAAUGACCAGUAGUGGCCCAACGAUGACCAACAGUGGCCAACCGUUGGCCAACACCCAAUUAACGACCUCCAACGCCCAAUUAACGCCCCCCAAC
rnacentral:lncRNA from 1 species